CUGCGUAUGGCUCAUUAAANCACACCUAAUCUACAGGGAUAGUUNAAGUUACUUGGAUAACUGCGGUAAUUCUGGAGCUAAUACAUGCNACNAACUGUGAACUUACGUGAGCNGUGCUUUUAUUAGAUCAAAACCAAACGUUCUAGGACGUACUCUUGGUGACUCUGAAUAACUUUGUGCAGAUCGUACAGCCUAAUGCUGAUGACAUAUCCUUCGAAGGUGUGCCCUAUUUACUGUCGACUGUGGCAUACACCCCCACAGUGGUUUUGACGGGUAACGGGGAAUCNNGGUUCCAUUCCGGAGAGGGAGCCUUAAAAACGGCUACCACAUCUAAGGAAGGCAGCAGGCACUCAAAUUACCCAAUGAACGCAGAUUCGAGGUAGUGACAAAAAAUAACGAUGGCGGACUCAUCCGAGGCCCGCUAAUUGGAAUGAGUACACUUUAAAACCGUCCCCGAGGAUCUAUU
rnacentral:rRNA from 1 species